CCUACGGGAGGCAGCAGUAAGGAAUAUUGGUCAAUGGAGGCAACUCUGAACCAGCCAUGCCGCGUGCAGGAAGACGGCCCUCUGGGUUGUAAACUGCUUUUAUUCGGGAAUAAACCUACUUACGUGUAAGUAGCUGAAUGUACCGAAGGAAUAAGGAUCGGCUAACUCCGUACCAGCAGCCGCGGUAAUACGGAGGAUCCAAGCGUUAUCCGGAUUUAUUGGGUUUAAAGGGUGCGUAGGCGGCCUAUUAAGUCAGGGGUGAAAGACGGUAGCUCAACUAUCGCAGUGCCCUUGAUACUGAUGGGCUUGAAUGGACUAGAGGUAGGCGGAAUGUGACAAGUAGCGGUGAAAUGCAUAGAUAUGUCACAGAACACCGAUUGCGAAGGCAGCUUACUAUGGUCUUAUUGACGCUGAGGCACGAAAGCGUGGGGAUCAAACAGGAUUAGAUACCCUGGUAGUCCACGCCCUAAACGAUGAAUACUCGCUGUUGGCGAUACACAGUCAGCGGCUAAGCGAAAGCGUUAAAGUAUUCCACCUGGGGAGUACGCCGCAAGGGUUGAAACUCAAAUUGAGUUGNGNGNGAGAGNGCGAGACGACGACGAGGAGGAGG
rnacentral:rRNA from 1 species